rnacentral:ribozyme from 14 species
UAGGAAAGGAAUUGAAAAAAUAAAAAUCUCGUUAAAUAUGUUGUAAUCUUUUAACUAAUUUAAGUCAAAUUAUUUAUCUUACACGUUCUACAGAAAGUGCUCAUGGUGUAAUUGCAUUUAAAAAAUCCCUUGCAACCUUCGAUAUUUAAGCUACCUUUUUCACAUCAUCAUCAUCAUCCAUGUACGCCUCCAAUGGAGGGCAAGUACAUACUAGAUUGCGGUCACCAUACACAUUAUCAACACGACCACAUGUAGGCCAAAAUUUGUUUGAUCGAAUCCAAGGGGCGGGGUAAGCACCAACUUCUCUUGAAUAUGACCUAUCCCACUUCUCACUUAUAAUUUCAUCUAUUGUAUGAGGCGCAUGACGUAAAGCAGAUUCCUC